AUUUUAGAUAGAGGUGCGUUUUUUAUAAGUAACUGCAUUGAGGAUUUUGGGAUUCUAUGAUAUGCAGCAAAAGGAAAAAACGCCGAAGGUUAUUACUUCCCAAUAACAUGUAAUACCUGGUUUCAAUGUUAAGAGCCUUGAGACUGUCAUCAUGACGAAGUGGUGGAGCGCUAUCUGUUUA
rnacentral:ncRNA from 2 species